rnacentral:rRNA from 1 species
UACGUAGGAGACGAGCGUUGUCCGGAAUUACUGGGCGUAAAGCGUACGUAGGCGGCUUUGCAAGUUAGAGGUGAAGGCCUGGAGCUCAACUCCAGAACUGCCUUUAAAACUGCAUCGCUUGAAUCCAGGAGAGGUGAGUGGAAUUCCGAGUGUAGAGGUGAAAUUCGUAGAUAUUCGGAAGAACACCAGUGGCGAAGGCGGCUCACUGGACUGGUAUUGACGCUGAGGUACGAAAGCGUGGGGAGCAAACAGG